rnacentral:rRNA from 1 species
GACGAACGCUGGCGGCGUGCUUAACACAUGCAAGUCGAACGGAAAGGCCCUGCUUUUGUGGGGUGCUCUAGUGGCGAACGGGUGAGUAACACGUGAGUAACCUGCCCUUGACUUUGGGAUAACUUCAGGAAACUGGGGCUAAUACCGGAUAGGAGCUCCUGCUUCAUGGUGGGGGUUGGAAAGUUUCGGCGGUUGGGUAUGGACUCGCGGCGUAUGAGCUUGUUGGUGGGGUAGUGGCUUACCAAGGCUUUGACGGGUAGCCGGCCUGAGAGGGUGACCGGCACCAUUGGGACUGAGAUAGGGCGCAGAAUCGUACGGGAGGGAGCAGUGGGGAAAAGUGUACAAUGGGCGGAAGCCUGAUGCAGCAACGCCGCGUGCGGGAUGAAGGCCUUCGGGUUGUAAACCGCUUUCGCCUGUGACGAAGCGUGAGUGACGGUAAUGGGUAAAGAAGCACCGGCUAACUACGUG